AGAGAAGUCGUUAUGUAGGUUGGGUUGGAGGAAAGAUUACACGACUCAAGCAGUUUGGUUAGAGCUUCCCUUUUCCUUUCCUGUUCAGGAUGACUCUCACUGACUCUUGGUUCAGCUGGACUUUCCUUCUCCUCCUGGCCUGCUUACAGGACCAGCCAGUUUCAGCUGACUUCAAGGAAAAAGCACUUAUCAGACCCAAGUGGCCUGGCAAGAAAGCCAGCCCUGUGGCUCUCAGGAGCUACUGGAAGUCCAUGAGGCGCUUUCUGGAUUACCAAGAGAGGUUCUUAAGGAGAAGGCCAAAGAGAUUGGUGACCCAGCACUCCAAAGACCUGACCUCUCCUUUACUCCCUAUCUUAUGGAUUCCAGAAAGACCUCACCCCAUCAAACCUCUGAUGUCCAUUCUUUCCCCUGAUAAAAAGUUCAAUCAUGGAAGCAAGUGGACCUCUGGAUUGUCUCCCUCUCUCCCCACACUGUCAGAACUUCUCUCUGGUGAAUGGCCAGAUUCUUUGUCUGGGACAUAGACAAUAAAAUGGAAUCUCUGGCA